GUGGGUAGUUUGACUGGGGCGGUCUCCUCCUAAAGAGUAACGGAGGAGCACGAAGGUUGGCUAAUCCUGGUCGGACAUCAGGAGGUUAGUGCAAUGGCAUAAGCCAGCUUGACUGCGAGCGUGACGGCGCGAGCAGGUGCGAAAGCAGGUCAUAGUGAUCCGGUGGUUCUGAAUGGAAGGGCCAUCGCUCAACGGAUAAAAGGUACUCCGGGGAUAACAGGCUGAUACCGCCCAAGAGUUCAUAUCGACGGCGGUGUUUGGCACCUCGAUGUCGGCUCAUCACAUCCUGGGGCUGAAGUAGGUCCCAAGGGUAUGGCUGUUCGCCAUUUAAAGUGGUACGCGAGCUGGGUUUAGAACGUCGUGAGACAGUUCGGUCCCUAUCUGCCGUGGGCGCUGGAGAACUGAGGGGGGCUGCUCCUAGUACGAGAGGACCGGAGUGGACGCAUCACUGGUGUUCGGGUUGUCAUGCCAAUGGCACUGCCCGGU
rnacentral:rRNA from 2 species